rnacentral:rRNA from 1 species
UCCGGCCAGGCCGUCGGCGGCGGCAGCAAGAACAGCCGCAAUGUGGAGGACGUGGGUGCGGUGCGGCUGUUCGUGCGCCUGCCGAUCAACUCGGUGACGGACGGUGCGAUGGUGAACACCGCCAGGGGCAUCGAGGCCGGGAUGCGCGCCGUGAAGCUCAUGGGCGUGGACGGCGUGGAGCUGCAGGUGUUCUGGUCCGUGGUGCAGCCGGAGUCGCCGGACAAGUUCUCGUGGGCCGGGUACCGCGCCGUGGCCGAUAUGGCCCGCGACGAGGGCCUCAGCCUCCGCGUCUCCCUCCGCAUCCACGGUUCGCCGGGCGGCAACGCCCCCAAGCUCCUGUCCUGGGUCGGCGCCGCCGCCGCCAAGGACCGCGACAUCCUCUUCACCGACGGCGCCGGCGGGCGCCACGAGGACUGCCUCUCCUUCGCCGUCGACGAGCUCCCCGUGCUCGCCGGAAUGCCCCUCCAGCGCUAUGAGGCCUUCUUCUGCAGCUUCGUCGACGCCUUCGAUAACCUUUUCGAGUCCACCAUCGCCGACGUGACGGUGGGGCUGGGGCCGAACGGCGAGCUCCGGUACCCGUCGUACCCGCCGGGGAGCGAUGUGACCCAGUUCAUCGGCAUGGGCGAGUUCCAGUGCUACGACAAGUACAUGCUGUCGCAGCUGAGGCAGCACGGGGAGGCGCUGGGCAACCCGAUGUGGGGCCUCGCCGGCCCGCACGACGUGCCGCGGUACAACGAGUCGCCGGACUCGAGCGAGUUCUUCCGCGACCACGGCUCGUGCGACAGCCCCUAUGGCGACUUCUUCCUCUCCUGGUACGCAGGGAAGCUCCUCCACGGCGACCGCGUCCUCGGCAUGGCGAGCCGCGUGUUCGGCAGCAAGCUGGUGGAGCUCUCGGCCAAGGUGCCGUUCAUGCACACGUUCAUCGGCCCGGCAUGGACAUGUGCAUGA